UGCAGUGACUGCAUCUUGUGCU
rnacentral:siRNA from 1 species